rnacentral:piRNA from 1 species
UACCACAGGGCUAGGGAUAUAACUCCAC